GUAACUGAGGCUGCGAAAAGGAAGCACACAAAUCGACGCCAUUUUUCAAAAGAUUAAGGUUUCUGAGCUCACGAAAUCCUAGUAUUAUUACUUUUAAUGAUAACAAUAGGAAUAAGAAGAGCAGGAUUUCUAUAUUGAGGAUUUACAUGUAUGGGACAGAGGACUAUUUGACUUGAUUUUACUUUAAAAAACUUUUUAAUUUUAACAAUAGUUCUCCUUAAUUGUUUAAAAUACUUUUUACAUAUUUUUCAUUUUAACAUUAUUUUUAUGACUUUGUAUUUAUUCAUCACUUAAUAAACUUUUAUUUCUAAACAU